GUCUCUUGCUCCAGCCAGAGCUCGAGGUUAGCUCUUCACUGCCCUGUGUCUUCUUUCCAAGGGUCUCGGUGAUUCGGCCACAGCCUCAGCCUCCAUCACGCGGUGAACUGAUGGUGCUGGAAGAUUCAUAGACUCCAGGACAUUCCUGAAGCCGAGAAAAGGUUAAGUAGGGUCUGGCCUGGAAUACUCUCCUAGAUGAAGAUAGCCCAACCAUGAGCCACCUUCGAAGCAGAUGAGAUGAAAUUAAAGCUCUUCAACUCCUAAAGGCCCAGAGACUAUCACAAAAGAGGUCAGAAAUCCUGAAGGUCACUUUCUGACAAACUCAGGAACCCCAGGUUUAUCUUGGAGCCUCAAGAGGAGAUAAAUUCACCCAACUCAGGUAUUUGAUGGUACAAAUCCAUGUCUGGGGUUGGCUUUUAAAAAGUAUUAUCUGAGAUUCCUUCUGUGGAACAAAGUUCCAUCGGGGAAAAAUUGUGCAAAUGUAAUAAAUUUGGAAAAACACUUUUUCAAAAACUACAGCUUAGAAAACAACAGAGAGUUCAUACUGGAGUAUGCUUUUGCAGAUGCAGUACAUGUAAAAAAAUAUUUAAUCCAUAAUUAAGUCUAUGCAAAUAUCAGAAUUUAUGGUAGAAAUAUAUAAGGCACUGACACACUUCACGUAUUCUAAAUCAGUGCUGAGUAUAGGAAAUCUAAAACUAAAGUUGGCAGAAAAAUUAUUUGUAUGUAACUUUCAGAGGAUCAGAAGGUUUUUUGCAGAAUUAUAAUUACAUUCAAAGUAUAUUUCUUGAAAAAAAUACAGAUUUUUUGAAAAGUGAAUAAUGAUGUCAUUCAACUCUGAAAUUAUUUCCUGCUGUUUCUUCAUUCCUAUUGGAGUCAAAUGUGAAAGCAUAGGAUCAAUUGUUGCUGCGUCAAAGAUGUGAGAGAUUCUUUUUGUUUUGUUUUGUUUUCUGUUUUUUUGAGAUGGAAUUUCGCUCUUUUGCCCAGGCUGGAGUGCAGUGGAAUGAUCUUGGCUCACUUCCGUCUCCGCCUUCCAGUUUCAAGUGAUUCUCCUGCCUCAGCCUACUGAGUAGUUGGGAUUACAGGUGCCUGCCACCACACCCAGCUAAUUUUUGUAUUUUUAGUAAAGAUGGGGUUUCACCAUGUUGGCCAGGCUGGUCUCAAACUCCUGACGUCAUGAUCUGCCCGCUUCAGUCUCCCAAAGUGUGAUUACAGGUGUGAGCCACCAUGCCUGGCAAGGCAUUCUUUUUUAUUAGGGGGGUGUUGUUUAUUACCUCUUCUAUAGAAAAGUAAAGACAUUAAAAUGUAAGAUGCAUAAUAAAAAUCUAAGUGGAGAGGCUCUUAUAACCUAUAAUAUUGAGUGAUGCAUCAGGUAGGUGUUCAGAGUAAUCUGCAUUAUCAUGAGAAGAAAACAUGUUUAAUUUUAUUUAAAAUUAAAUGAGUAGUAUAUUAUUGUACUAAUUGUACUAAUUUUUUCUGAGACAGAGUUUUGCUCUUGGUGCCCAGGCUGGAGUGCAUUGGCACGAUCUCUGGCUCACUGUGACCUCUGCCUCCCAGAUUCAAGUGAUUCUCCUGCCUCAGCCUCCUGAGUAGCUGGGAUUACGGGCAUGUGCCCCCAUGCCUGGCUAAUUUUGAAUUUUUAGUAGAAACAGGGUUUCUCCAUGUUGGUCAGGCUGGUCUUGAACUGCCAACCUCAGGUGAUCUGCCCACUUUGGCCUCCCAAAGUGCUGGGAUUACAGGCAUGAGCCACCGAGCCUGGCCUGAUUGUACUUUUAUAUAAUAAAAUGCAGUACAUUUAUAAAUUUUAGAUUAUGUGUGAAGUUAAUAGUUUAAUUCAACAUUUUUAACAUGUUAAAUACUAUUGUGCAUUCAAUGAAGCGUUAUUAUGCCACAAACUUUAACCUCUUUCACCUUACUCAAGGGUAUAGGUAAAAGAUGGUAACAAUAUACUGUUUAGUAAGAUAAUAGAUUAACAUCUCUAGUGAUUUUUUUUUUUUGCCAGUGGCUUUCAACUGCAAAUAAGUUAAAGAAUAUUGUUUCUGUAGGUAAAUUUUUAUUCUGUUUUUAAUCAUUUAAAUUUAUUUUAAUUUUGGUGGCUGCAUGAGUAUCUAUGCAAUAUAUGGCAUGUUUUAAUACAGGAAUACAAUAUAUAAUAAUAAUAUCAGCAUUAAGUGAGGCAUCCUUCACCUGUAGCAUUUAUCCUAUGUUUUAUAAUCCAAUUCUACACUUUUUUUUAAAUUUAAAAUGUACAAUUAAAUUGUUAUUUACUACAGGGUUAUUUUUAUGGUCAUAAUAAAAAUUAUAUAUGAGUAUAAAUAAAAUUCAUUGUUAAAUUCUUAAUAUUUUUUCAAAUUUCUUAUAUAUUUUUCUUGGAACAUGUGGCCUGUCUGCCUGCAAACACAUAAGACUUUUAGUUUUGAUUUACAUAGAGUUAAAUAUUUAUUAAUCUAAAGACAAACCUUAGGUGUAAGAAAAUUAUGGAGUAAGUGUGUUGGGAGUUUGAGACCAGCCAGACCAACGUGGAUUAACCCCGUCUCUACUAAAAACACAAAAUUAGCCGGGCGUGGUGGCAUAUGCCUGUAAUCCCAGCUACUUGGGAGGCUAAGCCAGGAGAAUCGCUUGAGCAUGGGAGGCGGAGGCGGAGGUUGCAGUGAGCCGAGAUCACGCCAUUGCACUCCAGCCUGGGCAGCAAGAGUGAAACUCUGUCUCAAAAAAAAAAAAAAAAGAACUACAAAACAUUACUGAAAGUAAUCAGAGACAAUGCAAAUAAAUAAAUAAAAAAAAAGAACUACAAAACAUUACUGAAAGUAAUCAGAGACAAUGCAAAUAAAUAAAAAAAAUUUUAUGCUUAUGGAUUUGAGGAAUGAAUAUGAAAUAUCCAUGCUUCCUAGAUCAGCCUACAAAUUAAGUAUUAUUUUUAUGAAACUGUCAAUUACUUUUUUUUUAAAUGGGACAGAGUCUUGCACUGUCGCCUAAGCAGGAGUGCAGUGGUGCAAUCUCAGCUCGCUGCAACCUCCACCUCCCAGGUUCAAGUGAUUCUCGUACCUCAGCCUCCCACGUAGCUGGGAUUACAGUUGCCCACCAGCACACCUGGCUAAUUUUUGUAUUUUUAGUAGAGAGGGGGUUUUGCUGUGUUAACCAGGUUGGUCUUGAACCCCUGGCCUCAAGUGAUCCACCUGCCUCAGCCUCCCACCACCCUUUGCUGGGGUUACAGGCAUGAGCUACCACACCCAUCCCAACCCCAUAUUAUUUCUGAUAACAAAGCACAGCAACACGAUUUGAAUUUUGCUUGGAUCUUAAUUCAUAAAAGAAAGUUGAAUGCCAUUAAAAGGUGUUUAAUACACUUGCACCAGAAACAAGAGCAAGGCAAGCCAUGGGGGCGUGCCUCACAAAGGCUGUCUCAUGUAGGGGUGGGAAAGCAGAGUUACCAGGGAACUGGGACUAUUUCUUUAUGACUGUGAUGGUUGGAAGCAAAAACGUGGGGCUUUUCCCUAUUGAAUAAAAAGUAAAAAAAUGCAUGUUGAUGUCAGUGGUUGGGAAUAAUAUAACAUUUGCAGGCUCAUAAGAACUGCCUGACAAAAAGCAUGUAAACAACAGUGAUUGCUCUAUGGCCCUGUGAUUCAGCAGGCUUAUAGAGCAGUUAAGAAUAGCAGAUGUCAGCCAGGCGUGGUGGCUCAUGCCUGUAAUCCCAGGUGCCCACCACCAUGCCCAGCUAAUUUUUGUAUUUUUAGUAGAGAUGGGGUUUCACCAUGUUAGCCAGGCUGGUCUCAAACCCCUGACCUUGUGAUCCACCUGCCUUGGCCUCCCAAAGCGUUGGGAUUACAGGCAUAAACCAGCAUGCCCGGCUCAAGCUGUUCUCUUAUAAUAGAUGUAUUUUUUAUUUUUGUAAAAUUAAAAACAUAAAUUUUAGAUUUCUUAUUUACCUUUUUUUUUUGAGAUGGAGUCUUGCUCUGUCACCCAGGCUGAAGUGCAGUGGCAUGAUCUCGGCUCACUGCAAACUCCGCCUCCCGGGUUCAAGCAGUUCUCUGCCUCAGCCUCCUGAGUAGCUAGGGUUACAGUCGCCCACCACCAUGCCUAGCUAAUUUUUGUAUUUUUAGUAGGGACAGCGUUUAACCAUGUUGGCCAGGCUGGUCUUGAACUCCUGACCUCGUGAUUUUCCCAACUUGGCCUUCCAAAGUCGUGGGAUUACAUGUGUGAGCCACCACACCUGGGCUCUCUUUUAUUUCUUCUUCAGUCACUUUUUGCCACAUACCUUUCUGGAAAAAUAAUAAUUGUAUCUAAUUUUUUAAAUAUAAUGACAUAAAAUUGUUUAAAACAAUAUUAUGUUUAAAUCUUUUUUUUUUUUUUUUUUGAGACGGAGUGUCACUCUGUUGCCAGGCUGGAGUGCAAUGGCAUGGUCUUGGCUCACUACAACAUCCACCUCCUGGGUUCAAGCGAUACUCCUGCCUCAGCCCCCCAAGUAGCUGGGAUUACAGGUGCCCCCCACCACAACCAGCUAAUUUUUGUAUUUUUAGUAGAGACGGGGUUUUACCCCGUCAGGCUGGUCUUGAACACCUGACCUCAGGUGAUCCUCCCACCUUGGCCUCUCAAAAUUCUGGGAUUACAGGCAUGAGCCACCCUGCCUGGCUUCUAUUUUCUAAGGCUACCAAAUUGUUGGCAUAUCAUGUGUGCUCAACACACAUUUAGGUUAAAAGAAUGAAUACAUAUUCUUUGUAAACUGAAACUGCAAAUCAAGAUUAUAUUUUUACUUCCUAUAUUUUAGUUAACAGAAUCAAAUAGAAAAUAAAGUGUAGAAUUCAGAAAGCACUAUUGAAAGUUUAAUGUUAAACCAGGACUUGUGGGCAAAAAUAUAUUAAAAUUUUUUAGUUUCUAAAUUUGUGACCAUUAUAAUUACUUUUAAAUUCCCACAUGAGGAUGGAACAUGACUUCAGGAGAGCACAAUUUAAGAGGAAAAGGCAGAAAUAAAAAGAAAAAGAAUAAAAAUUUGAUCAGGUUAGAUAUGCAAGUUCUUCUGCAUAUUAUUUUUUAUACUAUUUUUUGUUUUUUAGAAAAUAAUUUUUUUUCAGCCAGGCGGGGUGGCUCAUGCCUGUAACCCCAGCAAUUUGGGAGGCUGAGUCGGGGUGAUCACAAGGUCAGGAGUUCGAGACCAGCCUGGCCAAUAUGGUGAAACCUCAUCUCUACUAAAAGUACAAAAAUUAGCCAGGCGUGGUGGUGGACGGCUGUAGUCCCAGUUGCUUGGGAGGCAAGGCAGGAGAAUCACUUGAACCCGGGAAGCAGAGGUUGCAGUGAGCCUAGAUUGUGCCACUGCACUCCAGCCUGGGUGACAGAGCGGGACUCCAUCUCACUUUAAAAAAUAAUAACAAUAAUUUUUUCCUCUGCUGGUUUAGAGUGAGGCUGGCUGGGGGAGCCUGGGCUCCUCUGUCCUCCCCGAGGUGGCAGUGGCUGAUGUCUGCUCAGGUGUGAGGGGGUGCUGCCAUCCUCUGGGCCUGAGGCUGCCUGGCCCAGCCCCUCCUAACUCCCUGGACUCUUCCACGGUGUCUUCAGGCCCCUACACCAUCCUUUGUGUAAGGGGAGGUGGCAGCAUAGAGAUGAUGGGGGAACUGCCCCAUGUGCCAAGGAAAGCUCACCCAUCUGUGCGAAAUGCUCUGGUUGACAUUGGGUUUUUGCGCACCAAACUGGGCCAUGACCAAGGUUUAUAACCAAGGUGUCUCCGGGCAUGGGCACUUUGGCUCUUGUAGAAACCACCCCACUGGCAGGAGACGGCGGUAGCUGUGGUCAUUGAAAACAAGCUCCUGCUGAUAAAUCUCAGACACCAGACACAGAAGAACCUGGAGACCCUGCCAGAGAGCUUGAGGCAAAUGGAUGGACUGUUGGAGCAGCUGAGGGUGAAGCAGCACAAACUCCUCAAAGUUGAAUAGCAAAGCAGCCACCAGAGAUGGACAAGAAAAAUGAACAAAGAAAAUUAGCAGAAAUCAAAGGCAGAUGCUAAAGCAGUGCAAAAUCAUUCAUUCAAUGAUAGAAAUGAAAUUGAUGAAGGAGUCUGGAAAAUGAAUGACAGAAGAGAAUUAAACAGCAGUGACCAUAGUAAGGUCCUGACGAUUCUGGUCCACUGAAUCCCAUCAUCCCUAAGACAGUAAAUAUCAUCACAGUCACCACCAGCAAGUUACCACCACAGCAUUUCCUGUUUGUUCCAAAAUGAAUAAAGAUGAUUCUCAUCACAAGGGCAAAUACAAAGUAGUUUAGUAUGUUUUUAACUAAACUAAAGGUGUUUGGUUUACUUUUUCUAAGUUCUCAUAAUUCUGAAAAUGCAGUUGACACUUGUGUGGCUCAUGAUGUUUUUAAUAGUCUAAUGCUACUUGAAUUGUUCAAAAACCACUGUAUUUUAAAUUAAGAUGAAUAAACGGUCCUUUGAAAACUGGCACAAGGCAAGGAUGCCCUCUGUCACCACUCCUAUUCAACACAGUAUUGGAAGUUCUGGCCAGGGCAAUCAGGCAAGGGAAAGCAAUACAGCGUAUCAAAAUAGGAAGAGAGGAAGUCAAAUUGUCUCUGUUUGCAGAUGACAUGAUUGCAUAUUUAGAAAACCCCAUCUUCUCAGCCCAAAACCUCCUUAAGCUGAUAAGCAACUUCAGCAGUCUCAGAAUACAAAAUCAAUGUGCAAAAAAUCACAAGCAUUCCUAUACAUUAAUAACAGACAAACAGAGAGCCAAAUCAUGAGUGAACUCCCACUCACAAUUGCUAGUAAGAGAAUAAAAUACCUAGGAAAAUACAGCUUACAAGGGACAUGAAGGACCUCUUCAAGGAGAACUACAAACCACUGCUCAAGGAAAUGAGAAGAGACAAACAAAUGGGAAAGCAUUCCAUGCUCAUGGAUAGGAAGAAUCAAUAUCGUGAAAAUGGCCAUAGUGCCCAAAGUAAUUUUAUAGAUUCAAUGCUAUCCUCAUUAAGCUACCAUUGAUUUUCUUCACAGAAUUGGAAAAAACUACUUUAAACUUCAUAUGGAACCAAAAAAGAGCCUGCACAACCAAGACAAUACUGGGCAAGAAGAACAAAGCUGGAAACAUCAGGCUACCUGGCUUCAAACUAUACUACAAGGCUACAGGAACCAAAACAGCAUGGUACUGGUACCAAACAGAUAUGUAGACCAGUGGAACAGAACAGGGCCUCAGAAAUUGAUAUCACUCUGUCACCAUCAAAAAAUACUUAUUUAGUGUCAAAUCCUACUGUGAAAUAGCAGAACUGUGGGAUUUGUAAAGUGGAAAUGCAGAAUUCAAAACAGAGAUAUAUACCAAUGGAACAGAGCAGAGGCCUCAGAAAUACCACCACACGGCUACAACAAUCUGAUCUUUGACAAACCUGACACACACAAGCAAUGAGAAAAAGAUUCCCUAUUUAAUAAAUGGUGUUGGGAAAACUGGCUAGCCAUAUGUAGAAAAUUGAAACUGGACCCCUUUCUUACCCGUUUUACAAAAAUCAACUCAAGAUGUAUCAAAGACUUAAAUGUAAGACCUAAGACCAUAAAAAUCCUAGAAGAAAACCUGGGCAGUACCAUUCAGGACAUAGGCAUGGGCAAAGCCUUCAUGUCCAAAACACCAAAAGCAGUGGCAACAAAAGCCAAAAUUGACAAAUGGGAUCUAAUUAAAUUAAAUAGCUUCUGCACAGCAAAAGAAACUCAUCAGAGUGAACAGGCAACUACAGAAUGGGAGAAAAUUCUUGCAAUCUAUCCAUCUGACAAAAGGCUAAUAUCUAGAAUCUACAAAGAAUUUAAACAGUUUACAAGAAACAAACAAACUGCCCCAUCAAAAAAUGGGCAAAGAUAUGGACAGACACUUCUCAAAAGAAAACAUUUAUGCAGCCAACAGACACAUGAAAAAAUGCUCAUCACUGGUCAUUAGAGAAAUGCAAAUCAAAACCACAAUGAGAUACCAUGUCACACCCGUUAGAAUGGCAAUCAUUAAAAAGUCAGGAAACAACAGUGCUGGAGUGGAUAUGGAGAAAUAGGAACACUUUUACACUGUUGGGAGUGUAAAUUAGUUCAACCAUUGUGGAAAACAGUGUGGCAAUUCCUCAAGGAUCUAGAACUAGAAAUAACAUUUGACCAAUUCCAUUACUGAGUAUAUACCUAAAGGAUUAUAAAUCAUUCUAUGAUAAAGACACAUGCACACGUCUGUUUAUUGUGGCACUAUUCACAAUAGCAAAGACUUGAAACCAACCCAAAUGUCCAUCAAUGAUAGACUGGGUAAAGAAAAUGUGGCACAUAUACACUGUGGAAUACUGUGCAGGUGUAAAAAAGGAUGAGUUCAUGUCCUUUGCAGGGACAUGGAUGAAGCUGGAAACCAUCAUUCUCAGCAAACUAGCACAAGAUCAGAAAACCAAACGCUGCAUGUUCUCACUCAUAAGUGGGAGUUGAACAGUGAGAACACAUGGACACAGGGAGGUGAACAUCACACACUGGGGCCUGUCAGGUGCUGGGGGGCUAAGGGAGGGAUAACAGGAAAAAUACCUAAUGUAGGUGACGGGUUGAUGGUUGCAGCAAACCACCAUGGCACAUGUGUACACGUAUGUAAUAAAACUGAUGUUCUUCACAUGUAACCCAGAACUUAAAGUAUAAUAAUAAAAAGAAGAAUAAAUAUUUGUUUUAUAUAUUUAAAGCUUAGAAUCACAAAUAAUGCUUCUGUUUAUGAUUUGAAAACUUCAAAGUUUGGUUUUCCUUCUGUACAUACACAAAACAUUGUAUUGUGCUGAAAUAUUUGUUUUUUAAAGUGGCAGUCAUAGUUCCUGUCUGUCCGGAUAUAUAUAUGUAUAUAUGUUAAGCAUAACAUAAGAAAGAAAUUUCAUUAGCUGGGCAUGAUGGCUCACUCCUGUAAUCCCAGAACCUUGGGAGGCUGAGGUGGGUGGAUUGCCUGAGGUCAGGAGUUUGAGACCAGCCUGGCCAACAUAGUGAAACCUCGUCUCUACUAAAAAUACAAAAAAUUAGGUGGGCGUGGUGGCAGGCACCUGUAAUCCCAGCUACUAGGGAGGCUGAGGCAAGAGAACGGCUUGAACCUGGGAGUCAGAGGUUGACGUGAGCCGAGAUCACACCAUUGCACUCCAGCCUGGUGACAGAGUGAGACUCUGUCUGAAAAAAAAAAAAAAAGAAAAAUUUUAUUUUGUUUUCGGUAAUCUAAGAUUGUUGUACACAAAAACUUUACAGAUUAUGGUAGGGUUUAGCAAACUGUGUAUAUAACGUAACAUUAAUAUCGCUAUUUUCUGAUGUCUAACUUUUAGGAAAGAUUUUUUGUUUACAAAUGUCUCCACAAAUUCUGGCUUAUUUUAUAAAAAUAGCAGAAUACUAAAGAAAUGGGUGGUUUGCCACACUACAUGAAUUCACACACUACUGGCAUUCAAUUAAAAUAGCAAAUAUUUUCCUCAAAAUUUAGACAGAUGAAAUAAUUUCUUGAUUUUUGAGUGCAGUGACAGACAUUCACAAAUAUUUCAGAAAUCAAAGCUGUAUUAGGUUUUACUUAGUAGUAAUAUGUAUAUAAGAUCAAGGAUCUGUUCAGAAUAGAUAUUUUUCAUCAAUAAUUUGGUGCUUUCAAAUACCCAGAAGUCUUGUUUUAAUCAGAUGAAGUCUGAGGAUAGUUUAGUAAUUUUACUUUUUGUAUGAUGUGUUCACAAUUUUCUAAUUUAACCUAGUAUUGAUUGAUGAUGGGUAAACCAACUUUUUUUUUUAAUCUCGUAGGUUUAUUAUGUUGUUGAAGAUGUUUUUAGUUAGAAUUCUGUCUUUCAAAAUUGUUUACAGAGAUUUAGGUCUAGUUGAAUUUGCUCAACCUGUUAAUCAGUGUCAGCUGCCAGAUUCUAAUUCAUUUUUAGUGUGCCUGUACUUUUCUUUCUCUAAACUAAAUUUAUAUUCUCUAUAUUACUUGUUCAAAUGUGAUAUAAUACAGCUCACACAUUUAAAACAAAACCAUGAGGACAAAUUAAUUCUGGCUUAGUAUAAAGAAGCUGUUACCAAAUUAGUGUUACAUAUGCAGAUGGAUGCAGCUCAACAAAAUUUUACACAAAAAAAAUUGAAUUGAACUACACGUGUUGCCAUGACUUAGCCUCUAAUGAUCUCGUGAAUAAAGACAAAUUUCAACACAUUUAUUCAUUUGCUUUCAUUAUGUCUAAUGGUAGUGUGUCAAAAAUUCUCAUGCUACUGUCUGAGAAAACACGUUCUACUUUUACUUAAGAAAUCAACUGAAUGGCAUUUUUAUAACCUUGCACCACAUAAGGAAAAACUGCAAUGUAGUCUGCGUGGAAAAGGAUAAUCCAGAAUGUCACUUUCAAUAUUUAAGUAUUUAACCUUUUGGUUGAAAAAUGUAGUAAAAUACGGAUGCCAAGCCGAGGCUGGACUGUGCUGCCGCCAUCUCGGCUCACUGCAACAUCCCUGCCUGAUUCUCCUGCCUCAGCCUGCCGAGUGCCUGGGAUUGCAGGCGCAUGCCGCCACGCCUGACUGGUUUUUGUAUUUUUUGGUGGAGACGGGGUUUCGCCAUGUUGGCCAGGCUGGUCUCCAGCUCCUGACCGCGAGUGAUCUGCCUGCCCGGGCGUCCCGAGGUGCCGGGAUUGCAGACGGAGUCUCGCUCACUCAGUGCUCAAUCUUGCCCAGGCUGGAGUGCAGUGGCGUGAUCUCAGCUCGCUACAACCUCCACCUCCCAGCCACCUGCCUUGGCCUCCCAAAAUGCCCAGAUUGCAGCCUCUGCCCGGCUGCCACCCUGUCUGGGAAGUGAGGAGCGUCUUUGCCUGGCCGUCCAUCAUCUGGGAUGUGAGGAGCCCCUCUGCCCGGCUGCCCAGUCUGGGAAGUGAGGAGCGCCUCUUCCCGGCCGCCAUCCCAUCUAGGAAGUGAGGAGCGUCUCUGCCCAGCCACCCAUCGUCUGAGAUGUGGGGAGCGCCUCUGCCCCGCUGCCCCGUCUGGGAUGUGAGGAGCGCCUCUGCCCGGCCACAACCCCGUCUGGGAUCUGAGGAGUGUCUGUCUCUGCCCGACCGCCACCCCGUCUGGGAGGUGAGGAGCGUCUCUGCCUGGCCGCCCCGUCUGAGAAGUGAGGAGCCCCUCCGCCCGGCAGCCGCCCCGCCUGGGAAGUGAGGAGCGUCUCCGCCCGGCAGCCGCCCCGUCCGGGAGGUGGGGGGCAGCCCCCGCCCAGCCAUCCGCCCCGUCCAGGAGGGAGGUGGGGGGGUGCCUCUGCCCGGCCACCCCGUCUGGGAAGUGAGGAGCCCCUCUGCCCGGCCGCCACCCCGUCUAGGAGGUGUACCCAACAGCUCAUUGAGAACGGGCCAUGAUGACAAUGGCGGUUUUGUCGAAUAGAAAAGGGGGAAAUGUGGGGAAGGAAAGAGAGAUCAGAUUGUUGCUGUGUCUGUGUAGAAAGAAGUAGACAUGGGAGACUCCAUUUUGUUCGGUACUAAGAAAAAUUUUUCUGCCUUGGGAUGCUGUUAAUCUAUAACCUUACCCCCCACCCCCCACCCCGUGCUCUCUGAAACAUGUGCUGUGUCCACUCAGGGUUAAAUGGAUUAAGGGCGGUGCAAGAUGUGCUUUGUGAAACAGAUGCUUGAAGGCAGCAUACUUGUUAAGAGUCAUCACCACUCCCUAAUCUCAAGUACCCAGGGACACAAACACUGUGGAAGGCCGCAGGGUCCCCUGCCUAGGAAAACCACAGACCCUUGUUCACAUGUUUAUCUGCUGACCUUCCCUCCACUGCUGUCCUAUGACCCUGCCAAAUCCCCGUCUCUGAGAAACACCCAAGAAUGAUCAAUAAAUACUAAAAAAAAAAAAAAAAAAAAGUAGUAAAAUAGAGCUCUUGGUAAGUUUUGUGUAGCUUAACAUCAGCAUAAAGUAGGAAAAAAUAUCUUUAAAAAUGUAAACGGACAAAAACCUACACCAAAAAAACAAACAUACACCAAUGCAUACAUAUUGACUGAAGCUCCAGGGAUGUAAAAUAAUUUCUCCUGGGUACACAGCUAGUGACCCAAAUCAAGCUCAAAUAUGUUUGAUUUUAAAAUUGUCAUUUUCUCACUUUUGACAAUAUUGACAUAACAGGUAAAUCUUUGUCUCAGAGUUGAUAGUUGAAAAUAAACUAAGAUAAGUAUUAUUGAAGCUGGCUAGCUAGCCAAGAAGGUCACCAUGUCCUCAGGAUGCAGCAGCCAUGGCGAUUUCCUGGUGAUAGCAUAUUAUCAACACAAUAAACCCCAACAUUUGCAUUGCGUUUCAGCUCAUUCAAGCAAAGCUCUCUAGUAGGGAUAUUCCCCCAUAAAGAGCAUGCACAUUUUGAUUUUACUUGUCCUCUGACCUUUUACUCAUCGUAAUACUAAAAAACACACACGUGAGUGGAGUUUUUGCUAAUGAGAUGCUAAUUAGAUAUGUGACAUAUGCUAAUGAGAUAUGUGACAUAUAAACAAGCAUGUACAGCCACUGUGUAUGUGCACCAAGAGGACCACCCAGAACAUGCUUACUAAUAACACCACUUUCUAACUCUUUGUAAAUAAUUAUGUAAGACUCCGAUAAAUGGAGUCUCUCUAUUUCCAGUCUUUGCUGUCUCAUUCUUAUAAGCAGCCCAUCCUGAAUUGCUUUUCUCUCAGGGGUGUUUUGCACCGCACUUUUAAAAUAGUGUUUCUACUUUGCGAUAAAUCUAUCUAUGCUGCAUCCUCAUUUUUUUGCGUCUCGUUUAAAUUUUUGAAACUAAGAACCGAGGUCUCACAACAGCCUUCAGGACUAUUGUGCUUUGUUUUGUUUUCUUAACAUUAUUUUAUGUGAUAUUUCAUAUUUACAUUUUCAACAUAGCCAAAACUGCUAAAUUAAAAACUUAAAUGAUCAUGCUUUUAAAGUGAUUUGUCUUAAAAGCAUGUAUGUAUAUUUUUCAAGUUUCAGCUUUAUGUAUUCAAAUUUUUUAAAAAUUCUGACACAUAUAUCUAUCAAAUUUAAUAUUUUAAAUAAUUUGAAUUCACUUCCAAAAUGAUUUAUAUUCAUUGUUAUAUUUCAUUUUGACCAAAUUUGGCUUUCCAAGCUAAAGAAAUGCUCUGUAGUAAAAUAAAGGCUCAUGUUUUUAUCAAUAAUAUUUUAUGUCUGAGGACUUAAGCAUCAAGGACAGAAAUCUGGAUGAUGUUGAGUGAAUAUUUAAAUUGAUAAAGUAGAAAUUAUCAGAAUCAAAUAAGGGGUGGAUCCAGAAACAUAGUACUUAAUAAAACCAUUCAGGGUAUGUUUGACAAACAAGAAGAUUGCAUAGGAUCUGCACUGCACUACUAAUGUAAAGCGUUCUCUGUAACUUUAUUCUCCACGUACUCAUACACAAAAUGAAUAAGAUUAACUCCUUUUCCUGGAAGGCAGUGAUUCCUCUUUUAUUCUGUUACAUCUGUUCCACAUUGCUGUGAUAAUGCUGUUGAAGUGCACCCCCUUACACCAGAAGAUCACCUGUGUGAAUGUGAAUAGACUGACACUGGAGAGGACCAGCUCAGCACAGUCACUUGAACUGCCCCUUUGCAUUUCAGGCAGGUAAAAUGCCUUUGAAGAGUGAAAAUAAAGUUACUGCUGAUUAAGCAGAGAGUUUGACUUGCUGAUCAAUUUGAUCAGAAGCCUCUCAAUGAGAUAAUUACUGCAUUUAUUUAUUUCAAGAAAAGUAAAAGCCAAAGCCCAGAAUGUGGCAAGGCAAGAGUUGAAAAGAAAAGAACAAGUUUUUCUUUGCCUAGCAAGCUCACUUCAAGGACAGUUAUAAGAUAAUGCUGUUUGAGAAGUUGAAACCAAAGAAAUAGGCUCCAGACACUCCCCUCCGAAGCAAGGGUGAAGGAAACAAAGAAAAACAAACGUCUGUAUUUAGCCAGUUCUUGUUUUUUCUUUCAAUGCAGCUACAAGGCCACCAGCUAUUAAAGGCCACAAGUUAUGCCAAGAAUUCAGUUAUGCUAUAAAUUACAUAAACUGGUCAUUAUAUAAUUAACUGCCUUUGUUUUGCUUCUGUAAGUUUACUUAUUAAAAUCUCACUCAGUCUUUGUUCAAGGCUCAGCUUUUUGGAUGUGAAUUCACUGAGCCAGAGCAUACCUUAAAAUAAAUAUCCUCCUUUAUUGACUCAUACUGGUCUCUCUAGUCCUCUGUGUCCCACAUUUCUUGGCGAGCCAGCCAGGAGCAGAGACUGUCUCCUUUGCCUUGAAAUCGGGGCUGGAGCCCCGGAUUCAAGGGAAAAUCGGGGCUGGAGCCUUGAUUCAAGGGAAACCUGGGACCCAGGCACCGCCGGGAGAACUUCAGCCCGGAGGGGAAAUCAGCUCUCCCAUGACCCGGCAUCCCUACCCAGCAGUGCAACGGAGCCUGAGAAGGGCUACAGGAUGAUUCCAGAAAUAGCGCACUUUAGGAACCACGGUAAGUUAUUGGGGACCAAGGCAGGACCCGUCCCGUAAGGACGGAAGGGGAGCCUGAUCACCUCCCGGGGUGUAACUAGUAGUCCGACCCAGAGAGGCUUGGGGCGGCAAGAGGGGCUUGCCAAUUCAGAAGAAUCUCACACCUCAACCAACACAGGAUGCGAGAGUGGCUUGCUUAGUUGGUUAGGUAAAGGAAACUGGAGGUGGUGAGAGUUGCUUGCCACCCCAAUUAGGAACACAGGAACUGGGAACAGGGACGUAUAUAAAAGUGUGUGAAAGAUGGUUCCAGGAGAAUACAAUGCAAGGAGUGACGUGGGGAGUCACAGAUCUCUUAGCAUUGACUGUGUGCUCCGAGCAAAGUAUGGGGCUGCCCUGGACUAGUGGUGAACUGUAUACGUCCAAUAGGAGUUGCCCCACAGCUCAGAGUUGUGGUGGGAAUAAGGACCUCUCCAAAGCCAAGCAGCAUCUGAAAACUCCCGUAAUUGGGGAUGGUCUGGUCAGUCUGAGGCAAAAGGAAGAGUGGGUGUGCUGCGUAGUAAAGGGAGGAAAUGGGAGUAAAGUCAUCAAAGUCCACUCCAUUGGAGCGCAUGUUACAGAACUUUAAAGAAGGUUUUACAGGGAAUUAUGGAGUUAAGCUAACCCCCCAGAGGUUAAGAACUCUCUGUGAAUUAGAACUGCCUUCUUUUAGUGUUGGAUGACUGAUUGAAGGAACUAUAGAUAGGAAAAUAAUUGGCCGUGUAUUUAAGGUGGUGACAGGUCAGAGGACAGCCUCGGCAUCCAGAUCAGUUUCCUUAUAUUGACUCAUGGUUAAAUCUAGCACAAACAAGACCAGCCUGAAUCCAGCCCUGUUUAGCAGCUUAUUGCAAAACACUUGUGGCCUAAGCCAAGCCAAAAAAUGAAAGUAAGAGCAGCUUCGCUAGCAGAUACAGAGUUAAAGAAGAAGGCCCAGAGGGAGCAAGAAAAGCCAGUUUUGCAGGAGCCACCAGAGGGAAUAAAGAUUCCUACUCCAUAUGUCACAGCCUACCCCACUUUACCAAGGCCAGCAGCCCCCUGGGAACCAGAUUCAGGUGCUAGCACACCCCAACUCUCACCCUGAAAUGAAAGACUGGAGACUUGAGAGGUCAGGGAAAGAAGUCAAGAUAGUCAAGCAGGCCAUCUCAGAUCUGGUUGUGCUUGAGAUAUGCAAAUGCCUCUCAGGGAGACACGAGGACCCAUUUAUUAAGAUAACCAAGGCCAAGUCCAAGGGUGGGAAUGGACUUUCAUCUGUCAGCCCUUUUCAACCACUGAUCUCUUAAACUGGAAACACCAUACUCCCUCCUAUAUGGAGAAGCCCCAAGCUCUUAUAGAUCUGAUGCAGUCCAUCUUUCUGACACAGAAUCCAACCUGACCAGACUGCAGGCAGCUGCUUCUCAUGCUGUAUAACACUAAGGAGCACAGGAUAGUAACCUAGACAGCUCUCUGCUGGCUAGAAGCCCAUGCACGAGCAGAUGCAGUAAAUAGGCAGGCUGGCUGCGGUGGCUCAUGCCUGUAAUCCCAGCACUUUGGGAGGCUGAGACAGGUGGAUCACGAGGUCAGGAGAUCGAGACCAUCCUGGCUAACAUGGUGAAACCUUGUCUCUACUAAAAAUACAAAAAAAUUAGCUGGGCGUGGUGGCGGGUGCCUGUAGUCCCAGCUACUUGGGAGGCUGAGGCAGGAGAAUGGUGUGAACCUGGGAGGCAGAGCUUGCAGUGAGCCGAGAUGGUGCCAGUGCACUCUAGCCUGGGUGACAGAGCGAGACUCCAUCUCAAAAAAAAAAAAGAAAAUGCUCAGGCAUAUGCUCAGGGCCAGUUCCCAGACCAAAAUCCCAACUGGGACUCAGAAGAUGCGACUCAGCUUCAGCAUUUGCAGAGGUACCAAAAGGCACUUAUGCAAAGGCUAAGGGAU
rnacentral:lncRNA from 1 species